rnacentral:lncRNA from 1 species
UUUUUUUUUUUUUUUUUUUUUUUUUGGCCACACCACGGCACAUAGAGUCCCCAGGCAAGGGGUCAGACCCAAGCAGCAGCUGCAGCUUAUGCCACAGCGGCAACAAUGCUGGAUCUUUUAACCCACUGUGCUGGGCCUGGGAGUGAACCUGCAUCCCAGUGCUUCAGAGACACUGGAACCCACUGUGUCACAACAGGAACUCCUAUGGUAUUAUUUUGAUUCUGCAAAACAGUGAAAGGUUGUAAAAAAGUAUCCAAGGAUAUUUAUCCCCAGGCUGUCAAUAUCAGUAUCAACAGUAAUAAGAUAGAAUAAAGAGAUAAAACAUUUGAAAUAUAACCAUCAGCUUUAUCUUUGUUUAAAAAAAAAAAAAAAAAAAAAAAAACCUACAACUGACGGGUCCUGAGCUAGCUCAAUUGAGCAGGGAGCUGAAUCGCACCAGCGCCUGCAGGUUUUACCUCCACACCAGGCAGCUGAGCUCUGGGGAAAAGGAGUUAAGAUGAAUCAGAUGCCCUAGACUUCCCUAAACUUUCACUUUUUAAACACUACUAGAGUGAGUUCUCACCCAAGCUAUCCUUUAGGAAAUCCAGUGUGAUGUUGUGCCUAAAGCCAUACAACGCUGAAUUAUCUUCAAAGUACUCCUUAAAUUUUAUCCUCAAAGAUGAACUGAUUUUCUUGUGACAUAUAUAUGCAACUUCAAUUAAUUUUGUUAUUCAGGUGAAAUACUUGUGUUUUCACCUGUUAAUGGAGGCUAAGGAGGGCUUUCUUUCCUCCCAAAAGAUGCCCAGCUUUGCACUUUUGGGGGGUUUUUAAAGUCUUGGUCAUGGCCUCUCACUAAUUCUAAUUAUUAUGCAAUAUACAUCUCUCUAGCAUUUCAUUUUAUGAUGGGAAGAGCAGAGGAGGCUGCAUAAAACUUAAUGUAAGUUUUGCAGCUAUAAGCAAUGAAUUUGUUAUUGUGAAAAUGCUUUGCCUUUGCAAAGUAAGUUAACAAGAAAUUGGUUGUUUCUUCAUGAACGCUAUACCAGUUCUGUAUGUCUUAGAAAAUUCAGGACUAGCCAAAGAAAAAAGUCUGUGGGUAAAUGUAACUCCCUUGAUGUGUGUAACCAAGAGACCUAAGUCAUAUGCACUUACACAAAAUUGUUUAUUGAGUUCAUACCAACAUUCAGACACUGAAGGAGGGAGUUCAUUUGUUUUUCGCAGCAACCCUAAAAGGUAGGAACUAUUUUCCCAAUUUUAGAACUGAGAAGGAGAAAAACAAAAAUCAUUAAGUAAUCUGACUAAGGUCACCCAGCUAAGAAGUGGCAGAUCAAGGUGUCAAACAUCAGGAGAGCAGCCAAGAUGGCGGAGCAUCAAGACUUUUUCCCACGGGCGCCAACAUAACAGCUAUUUACAGAGUAACUACUGACGAGAAAACUAGCAGGAAAGAGCUUCUAUCACUAAAGACAUAAAAAAGGAACUACAACGAGAUGGGUAGGAUGGGAAUGAUGUGAUUUAGUCAAGACCUACACCCCCAAGUAGACAACCCACAAACAGGAUGAUAAUCAUACAAGUGCAAGAUUCUCUCCAAGGAACAAGGGUUUGGAGCCCCACAUCAGGCUCCCCAACUCAGGGUCCUUGCACCACAAAGAGAAGCCCCCAGAACAUCUGGCUUUGAAAUCCAGCAGGUCUUGCUUUGAGGAGAGUCAGAGGGCUUAUGGGAAAUAAGCACUGCAGCCAGAGACCCAGGACCUGGUUCCACAUAUCAGUUGGCCAGGACUAGUCCCAGGACCCAGUCUUACCCAUGAGUGCUGACAUUAGUUCUGGCACACCCCGGACCCCAGCAGUCAGCCACAUCAGGAACUAGCCCUGCCCACGAGAGGACUGAUACUAGCCCUGAGACUCAGGGAGCCUGCAGCCACCGACAUCAAGAAAUGGCCCACCCACCAGCAGAUUGACAUCAGCUAGCUCUGAAACCCUGGGACCUCACAGCCAGGUGACCCCUUGACCUGACCUCAACUCCUGGUAGCCAGAAGCCUUCAUACUAGAUAAGGCCUGGCAACCAACUGGGCCAGGGGCCAGCCACAACCACCAGCUUUCCCACAGCAGUUGGUCCCAACACAAGAGAAGGGCCACACAGCCCAUCUAAUGGGCACCCCUAGAGCAUAUAGUUCUGGUGACCAGAGGAGAGUGUACUGCUGGGCCUGACAGAACUUCUCCCACAGGGGCCAUUUCUUCAAGAUCAGGAAACAUUACCAACCUAAUACACAGGAAUAAAAACAGAGAUUUAGGCAAAAUGAGGAGACAGAGGAAUGUGUUCCAAAUGAGGAACAAGAUAAAACUCCAGGAGAACUAAACAAGGAGGAAAUAAGUUCAGGGCAGUAAUCAUAAAGAUGCUCAAAUAACUUGGGAGAAGUACAGAUGAACACAGUGAGAACUUCAACAAAGAGGUAGAAGAUAAAAAGAAGAACCAGAGUUGAAGAAUAUAAGAACUGAAAUGAAAAAGUACAGUAGAAGCAAUUAACAGUAGAUUAUGAGACAGAGGAAUAGAUUUGCAAACUAAAAGACAGAGGAAUGGAAACAACCCAAAUGUCCAUCGAUAGAUGAUUGGAUUCGGAAGAGGUGGUAUAUAUACACAAUGGAAUACUACUCAGCCAUAAAAAAGAAUGACAUAAUGCCAUUUGCAGCAACAUGGAUGGAACUAGAGAAUCUCAUACUGAGUGAAAUGAGCCAGAAAGACAAAGACAAAUACCAUAUGAUAUCACUUAUAACUGGAAUCUAAUAUCCAGCACAAAUGAACAUCUCCUCAGAAAAGAAAAUCAUGGACUUGGAGAAGAGACUUGUGGCUGCCUGAUGGGAGGGGGAGGGAGUGGGAGGGAUCGGGAGCUUGGGCUUAUCAGACAAAACUUAGAAUAGAUUUACAAGGAGAUCCUGCUGAAUAGCAUUGAGAACUUUGUCUAGAUACUCAUGUUGCAACAGAACAAAGGAUGGGGAAAAAAUGUAAUUGUAAUGUAUACAUGUAAGGAUAACCUGACCCCCUUGCUGUACAGUGGGAAAAUAAAAAAAUUAUUAAAAAAAUAAAAAAAAUAAAAAAUAAAUAAAUAAAUGCUGCUAUAAAUGAUAGAAAAAAAAAAAAAAGACAGAGGACUGGAAAUCACUUGAGAUGAACCAAGAAAAAGAAAAAAGAGUUUUUAAAAAUGAGGACAGUUUAAGAAACAUAUGGAAUGGUGCCAAGUACACCAACACUGGCAUUACAGAAGCCCCAAAUGGAAAAGUGAGAAAUAAAGGGAUAAGAACAUAUGGGAUGGAAAUCCUGUGAAAUUGUAUUGUUAUGAUCAUUCUAUAACUGCAGAUGUGAUAAAUUCGAGUAAUAAAAAUAACAAACAAUCAAAAAAGAACAUAUUUGAACACAUAACAGCUAAAAAGUUCCCUAACCUAGGAAAGGAAAGGAAACAGACAUCCAGGUCGAGGAAGCACAGAGAGUCCCAAAUAGAAUCAACACUAAGAGGUCUACACCAACACAUGUUGUAAUUAAAAUGACAAAAGUUAAAGAUUUAACACCCAUCCUUCUCAAACUGCUCCAAAAAAUUGCAGAGGAAGGAAUACUUCCAAACUCAUACUAUGAGGCCAGCCAUCACCCUGACAUGAAAAUCAGAAAAAGAUAUCACAGGAAAAGAAAAGUACAGGCCAAUAUCACUAAAAACAUGGUUCAAUAUCCUCAAAUCAAUCAACGUGAUACACCACAUUAACAAACUGAAGAAUAAAAACCAUAUGAUUAUCUCAAUAGAUGCAGGAAAAGAUUUUGACAAAUUUCAACAUCUAUUUAUGAUUUUAAAUAUUCUCUAGGAGUUUCUGUCAUGGCUCAGUGGUUAACAAAUCUGACUAGGAACCAUGAGGUUGCGAGUUCGAUCCCUGGCCUCUCUCAGUGGGUGAAGGAUCCAGUGUUGCCAUGAGCUGUGGUGUAGGUCACAGACACGGCUCAGAUCCCGAGUUGCUAUGGCUGUGGCGUACGCCAGCAGCUAUAGCUCCAGUUUGACCCCUAGCUAGGGAACCUCCAUAUGCCACAGGUGCGGCCCUAGAAAAAGACAAAAAAAAAAAGAAAUCCUCCAGGAGUUCCCAUGAUGGCUCAGUGGUUAACGAACCCAACUAGUGUCCAUGAGGAUGCAGGUUUGAUUCUUGGCCUCUUUUAGUUUGUUAAGGACCCAGAAUUGCUGUGACUUGUGGUGUAGGUCACAGACAUGGCUUGGAUCUGGGAUUACUGUGGCUGGGGUGUAGGCCGGCAGCUACAGCUCCAAUUCAACCUCUAGCCUGGGAACCUCUAUAUGCUGUAGGGGUGGCCCUAAAAAGACAAGAAAAAAAAAAUUCUCCAGAAAGCAGUCAUAGAGGGAACAUACUUCAACAUAAUAAAGGCCGUAUAUGAUAAGCCCACAGCUAAUAUCACACUCAAAGGUAAAAAGCUGAAACCAUUUCCCCAAGAACAGGAAUGAGACAAGGAUGUCCACUCUUGCCGACUUUAUUCAUUAUUGAAAGCCUUAGCCACAGUGAUAGGACAAGAAAAUUUUAAAAAGGAACCUAAAUUGGAAAGGAAGAAGUAAAACUGUCACUGUCAUCAGAUGAGAUGAAACUACAUAUAGAAAAUCCUAAAGAUAUCAUCAAAAAACCGUGAGAACUAUUAAAUGAAUUCAGUACAACUGCAGGAUACAAAAUUAAUAUACAGAAAUUGUUGCAUUUCUAUAUACUAACAACAAACCAUCAGAAAAGGAAAUUAAAAAAACAAUCUGAUGUGUAAUCACAUCAAAAAGAAAAAAAUAUCUAGGAAUAAAUCUAACUAAGGAGGUAAAAGACCUGUACUCAGAAAACUAUUAGGUGCUGAUGAAAGAAAUUGAAGAUGACACAAACAUACGGAAAGAUAUACUGUGUUCAUGAAUUGAAGAAAUUAAUAUUGUUAGAAUGACCACACUACCAAAGGCAGUCUACAAAUUCAAUGCAAUCUCUAUCAAAACACCAAUAGCAUUUUUCACAGAAAAAGAACAAAUAAUUCUAAAAUGUGUAUGGAAUACAACAGACUUCAAAGAGUUGAAACAAUCUUGAGAAUAAAGGACAAAGGUGGAGACAUCACACACCCUGAUCUCAAACUAUAUAACAAAGCAACAAUUAUCAAAACAGUGUGGCACUGGCACCAAAACAGAUAUAUCAAACAAUGGAAUAGAAUAGAACCCAGAAAUGAAUCAAUUAUAAGGUCAAUUAAUCUACAAAAAGAAUGCAAGAAUAUACAAUAGGGAAGACACUCUCUUCAAUAAAUUGUGUUGAGAAAAGUGGACAGAUAAAAAAAAUCAAACUGGACUUUCUCACACCAUAUAUAAGAAUAAAAUCAAAAGAGAUUAAAGACUUAAAAGUAAUACCUGGAACCAUAAAGCUUCUAGAAGAAAACAUAGGCAGUAUGUUAUUUGACAUUGGUCUUGGUAAUAUUUUAUUGCAUAUGUCGCCUCAGGUAAGGGAAAUAAAAGCAAAAUAUACAAGUAGUACUACAUCAGGAAUGUUCAGGGUGGUAUGACCAUUGACAAUGGUACUACUUCAAAGUUAAAAACUUUCACACAGUGAAGGAAACUAUCAAUAAAAUUAUAAGGCUGCUUACUGAAUGAGAGAAGUUAUUUGCAAAUGAAAUAUCUGAUAAAGUAUUAAUAUCCAAAAUAUACAAAGAACUCACACAACUCAACAUUCAAAAAAAAACAAAAACAAAAACAGAAAGGACCUGAAACAGACAUUUUCCCAAAGAAGACAUACAGAUGCUAACAGGCACAAGAAAAGAUGCUCAACAUCACAAAGCUUCAGGGAAACAAAAAUCAAAACCACAAUGAGAUAAGACCUCAUACCUUUCAGAAUGACUAUAAUCAAAAAGAUGAAAAACUGGAGUUCCCUGGAGCUCAGCGGGUUCUGAGAUCCCACCAAGAGAUCUGGCAUUGUCACUGCAGUGGCUCAGGUUGCUGCUAUGGUGCAGGUUUGAUCCCUGGCCCGGAAACUUUCCCAUGCCACAGGCGUUGCCAAAGGGGAAAAAAAAAUUCUAAAGACAACAAAUAGAAAGUGUUGAUGAGAAUGUGUAAAAAGGGCACUCUUAUGCACUGUUAUUGGAAAUGUAAAUUGGUGCUGCCAGGAUGAGAAACAGUAUGGAGAUCCCUUGAACAGUUAAAAACAGAACCACCAUAUGAUCCAGCAAUUCCACACCAGAGUAUUUAUCUGAAGAAAUCAAAAAACACUAAUUCAGGGAGUUCCCGCUGUGGCGCAGUGGUUAACGAAUCCGACUAGGAACCAUGAGGUUGUGGGUUCGGUCCCUGCCCUUGCUCAGUGGGUUAACGAUCCAGCAUUGCCGUGAGCUGUGGUGUACGUUGCAGACGCGGCUCGGAUCCCGCGUUGCUGUGGCUCUGGUGUAGGACAGUGGCUACAGCUCCGAUUAGACCCCUAGCCUGGGAACCUCCAUAUGCCACGGGAGCGGCCCAAA